rnacentral:rRNA from 1 species
GACGAACGCUGGCGGCGUGCUUAACACAUGCAAGUCGAACGGAAAGGCCCUGCUUGCAGGGUACUCGAGUGGCGAACGGGUGAGUAACACGUGGGUGAUCUGCCCUGCACUUCGGGAUAAGCCUGGGAAACUGGGUCUAAUACCGGAUAGGAGCCAUUUUUAGUGUGAUGGUUGGAAAGUUUUUUCGGUGUAGGAUGAGCUCGCGGCUUAUCAGCUUGUUGGUGGGGUAAUGGCCUACCAAGGCGGCGACGGGUAGCCGGCCUGAGAGGGUGGACGGCCACAUUGGGACUGAGAUACGGCCCAGACUCCUACGGGAGGCAGCAGUGGGGAAUAUUGCACAAUGGGCGCAAGCCUGAUGCAGCGACGCCGCGUGGGGGAUGACGGCCUUCGGGUUGUAAACUCCUUUCGCUAGGGACGAAGCUUUUUGUGACGGUACCUAGAGAAGAAGCACCGGCUAACUACGUG